UUGAUUUAUUCAAAAUAUUGACUCGGACGCAAAGAUGCAGUGUUUGAAGGUCCAUCGGGGGCCCCGGCACGAGUCCGGGUCGCCCCCGAGGCAACAGGGUCGGUUAACAUGGGGUUGGAGGUCGGACCCGGAGGCCCUCACUCGGUAAUGAUCCCUCCGCAGGUUCACCUACGGAGA
rnacentral:misc_RNA from 1 species